UAUUCUAUGUUGCCAGCGCGUAAUGGCGGGGACUCGUAGGAGACUGCCGGGGUCAACUCGGAGGAAGGUGGGGACGACGUCAAGUCAUCAUGCCCCUUAUAUCCAGGGCUGCAAACACGCUACAAUGGCCGGUACAAAGGGCUGCAAGCUCGUGAGAGUAAGCGAAUCCCAUAAAGCCGGUCUCAGUUCGGAUUGUAGGCUGCAACUCGCCUGCAUGAAGCUGGAGUUGCUAGUAAUCCCGGAUCAGCACGCCGGGGUGAAUACGUUC
rnacentral:rRNA from 1 species